CCGUCUAUAUACGUAUAGCAUAUCAAUAAGCGGAGGAAAAGAAACUAACUAGGAUUCCCUCAGUAACGGCGAGUGAAGCGGGAAGAGCUCAAAUUUGAAAUCUUCAAGGUUCUACCUUGACGAAUUGUAGUUUAAAGAAGUGUUUUCUGUUGGAGUUUUGGUAAAAGUUCUUUGGAAUAGGACAUCAUAGAGGGUGAGAAUCCCGUAUUUGACCAUUAUUUCCAACUUUGUGAUACACUUUCAAAGAGUCGGAUUGUUUGGGAAUGCAUGUCCAAAAUGGGUGGUAAAUUUCAUCUAAAGCUAAAUACUGGCGAGAGACCGAUAGCGAACAAGUACCGUGAGGGAAAGAUGAAAAGAACUUUGAAAAGAGAGUUAAACAGUACGUGAAAUUGUCAAAAGGGAAGCGUUCGACACCAGUGUUGUUUUCUCGAAAAUCAAUUAAAAAUGGCUGGAUUUUGUGUUGUAUUGACUUAUCAGCUUUCUGCACUCUUUUCUUGUCUUUUUUAAUGCACUAUUCGUUUAACAAGUCAACAUCAAUUUCUUUUGUUGUAAAAGGGUCAUUGGAAGGUGGCUUUCUUUUCGGAGAAAGUGUUUAUAGCCUUUGGCUUCUGCAGUCGGAGAGAUUGAGGUCUGCAGCGUAGAUCCUUCGGGGUUAGAUACAUUUGUGCUAAGUUAUAGCCUUUCAUAGACAACUUGUUGACUAUGAUCAGUCAUGUAGCUUACUCGCUUAUGCUAUUUUACCUACGCUUAGGAUGUUGAUCUGUAGUGCGUGCGC
rnacentral:rRNA from 1 species